rnacentral:rRNA from 1 species
UCCUACGGGGGGCAGCAGUGAGGAAUAUUGGUCAAUGGGCGAGAGCCUGAACCAGCCAAGUCGCGUGAGGGACGACGGCCCUACGGGUUGUAAACCUCUUUUGCCGGGGGACAAACGGCGGCACGCGUGCCGUCCUGAGGGUACCCGGAGAAAAAGCAUCGGCUAACUCCGUGCCAGCAGCCGCGGUAAUACGGAGGAUGCGAGCGUUAUCCGGAUUUAUUGGGUUUAAAGGGUGCGUAGGCGGGAUGCCAAGUCAGCGGUCAAAUACGGGGGCUCAACCUGCGUCCGCCGUUGAAACUGGCGUU